rnacentral:rRNA from 1 species
GACGAACGCUGGCGGCGUGCUUAACACAUGCAAGUCGAACGGAAAGGCCCUGCUUUUGUGGGGUGCUCGAGUGGCGAACGGGUGAGUAACACGUGAGUAACCUGCCCUUGACUUUGGGAUAACUUCAGGAAACUGGGGCUAAUACCGGAUAGGAGCUCCUGCUGCAUGGUGGGGGUUGGAAAGUUUCGGCGGUUGGGGAUGGACUCGCGGCUUAUCAGCUUGUUGGUGGGGUAGUGGCUUACCAAGGCUUUGACGGGUAGCCGGCCUGAGAGGGUGACCGGCCACAUUGGGACUGAGAUAUGGCCCAGACUCCUACGGGAGGCAGCAGUGGGGAAUAUUGCACAAUGGGCGGAAGCCUGAUGCAGCAACGCCGCGUGCGGGAUGACAGCCUUCGGGUUGUAAACCGCUUUCGCCUGUGACGAAGCGUGAGUGACGGUAAUGGGUAAAGAAGCACCGGCUAACUACGUG